GCCAUGACCGCCGCCAUCGUGCCAGGGAAGCGGGUUCCCGUUCACCAGCCCUCGCUGCCGCCGCCCACCCAGCCCAGGCCACAGAUGAAGAUGACAUGCUAUUUCCUGAUGCAACUUGAUGAUCUGGAACCCACAUGCAGGCUGUGGCAGCACUGGACUCCCUGUGCCUCCUUUCCUGGAGGACUGGCCGCAGCAUCACCCUUCCUCAGGAUGCAGCGCGCAAGUAUAUCCC